rnacentral:rRNA from 1 species
UACGUAGGGGGCUAGCGUUGUCCGGAAUCAUUGGGCGUAAAGCGCGUGUAGGCGGCCCGGUAAGUCCGCUGUGAAAGUCGGGGGCUCAACCCUCGAAUGCCGGUGGAUACUGUCGGGCUAGAGUACGGAAGAGGCGAGUGGAAUUCCUGGUGUAGCGGUGAAAUGCGCAGAUAUCAGGAGGAACACCGGUGGCGAAGGCGGGUCUCUGGGCCGUAACUGACGCUGAGGAGCGAAAGCAUGGGGAGCGAACAGG